AGCGAACGCUAGCGGCAGGCCUAACACAUGCAAGUCGAACGAACUCUUCGGAGUUAGUGGCGGACGGGUGAGUAACACGUGGGAACGUGCCUUUUGGUUCGGAAUAACUCAGGGAAACUUGUGCUAAUACCGAAUGUGCCCUUCGGGGGAAAGAUUUAUCGCCAUUAGAGCGGCCCGCGUCUGAUUAGCUAGUUGGUGAGGUAACGGCUCACCAAGGCGACGAUCAGUAGCUGGUCUGAGAGGAUGACCAGCCACACUGGGACUGAGACACGGCCCAGACUCCUACGGGAGGCGGCAGUGGGGAAUCUUGCGCAAUGGGCGAAAGCCUGACGCAGCCAUGCCGCGUGAAUGAUGAAGGUCUUAGGAUUGUAAAAUUCUUUCACCGGGGACGAUAAUGACGGUACCCGGAGAAGAAGCCCCGGCUAACUUCGUG
rnacentral:rRNA from 1 species